rnacentral:rRNA from 1 species
GAUGAACGCUGGCGGCGUGCCUAAUACAUGCAAGUCGAGCGAACAGACGAGGAGCUUGCUUCUCGGACGUUAGCGGCGGACGGGUGAGUAACACGUGGAUAACCUACCUAUAAGACUGGGAUAACUUCGGGAAACCGGAGCUAAUACCGGAUAAUAUAUUGAAUCGCAUGGUGCAAUAGUGAAAGGCGGUUUUGCUGUCACCUAUCGAUGGGUCCGCGCCGCAUUAGCUAGUUGGUAAGGUAACGGCUUACCAAGGCAACGAUGCUAAGCCGACCUGGGAGGGUGAUCGGCCACACGGGAACGGAGACACGGUCCAGACUCCUAGGGGAGGCAGCAGUAGGGAACCUUCCGCAAUGGGGGAAAGCUUGACGGGGCAACGCCGCGGGAGUAAUGAAGGUCUUCGGAUCUUAAAACUUGUUUAUAAGGGAAAAACAAAUGUGUAAGUAACUAUGCACGUCUUGACGGUACCUAAUCAGAAAGCCACGGCUAACUACGUG